CGGUGGAGCAUGUGUUUAAUCGAAGCAACGCGAAGAACCUUACCAGGUCUUGACAUCCGAUGCUAUUUCUAGAGAUAGAAAGUUACUUCGGUACAUCGGUGACAGGUGGUGCAUGGUUGUCGUCAGCUCGUGUCGUGAGAUGUUGGGUUAAGUCCCGCAACGAGCGCAACCCCUAUUGUUAGUUGCCAUCAUUCAGUUGGGCACUCUAGCGAGACUGCCGGUAAUAAACCGGAGGAAGGUGGGGAUGACGUCAAAUCAUCAUGCCCCUUAUGACCUGGGCUACACACGUGCUACAAUGGUUGGUACAACGAGUUGCGAGUCGGUGACGGCGAGCUAAUCUCUUAAAGCCAAUCUCAGUUCGGAUUGUAGGCUGCAACUCGCCUACAUGAAGUCGGAAUCGCUAGUAAUCGCGGAUCAGCACGCCGCGGUGAAUACGUUCCCGGGCCUU
rnacentral:rRNA from 1 species